AUUGAACGCUGGCGGCAUGCCUUACACAUGCAAGUCGAACGGCAGCGGGGACUUCGGUCCGCCGGCGAGUGGCGAACGGGUGAGUAAUGCAUCGGAACGUACCCGGAAGUGGGGGAUAACGUAGCGAAAGUUACGCUAAUACCGCAUAUUCUGUGAGCAGGAAAGAGGGGGAUCUUCGGACCUCUUGCUUUCGGAGCGGCCGAUGUCAGAUUAGCUAGUUGGUGAGGUAAAGGCUCACCAAGGCGACGAUCUGUAGCGGGUCUGAGAGGAUGGUCCGCCACACUGGAACUGAGACACGGUCCAGACUCCGACGGGAGGCAGCAGUGGGGAAUUUUGGACGAUGGGCGCAAGCCUGAUCCAGCCAUGCCGCGUGAGUGAAGAAGGCCUUCGGGUUGUAAAGCUCUUUCGGCCGGGAAGAAAUCGCAUGGAUUAAUACUCUGUGCGGAUGACGGUACCGGCAUAAGAAGCACCGGCUAACUACGUGCCAGCCGCCGCCGUAAUAC
rnacentral:rRNA from 1 species